AGUAGUAUCCUUUAGCCAAUCAACAUUAUUGUCAAUACAAAUUGUAGUAACCUCUGCCAUCCUGACACAACUUAAUUCAUCUUUGUCUGAGGCCCUAUCUGAGAGAGUCUUAGAGUUCCAACGUUGAAUUGCUAUUGCAACAACGAAAGGUACCCCUUCCAUUAGUCCCACGAGUGAGACACCUAUUGCCAAAACUCUGGAGCGGGAUGUGAAAAUGAUCUUAAGGGAGUGGAGUAUCCUUUCCAGUUCAGCAGGUGGUCCCUUAGGAUCAGGUCUGUUUCCAGAGUCAUCAUCUUUCUUCCCCUUCUUGAAGCGCAAGAACGUCGCCACAAACAUGAAAAUGGCAAGGACAAGCCCUAUUAUGUAGAUGAUUUCACUCCCCUUGCCAAUUUGAGUCUCAGUCUUGGUCUUUCUCUGAGUUGACAAUGCCAAUGGCUCCCUCAUCAUCUCGCCCAACACCGUAUCAUCGAUGCCCUUGGAUAUAACUAGCAUUUUGGCACUACCCUUAACCACUCUGGACCCAUAAAACAAGAAUGGGUUUUGCUCAUUGCAUUUGGAUACUCUACCAUCUUCAUCUAUUUCUGAUCCCUCACCACGAACAAAUAAGCCAUCUGCAGGAACUAGACAUCCAGCCUCUAGACAAACCAAAUCGCCAUAAACCAGAUCAGAGACAUAAAUCAGAACCUCCUUCCCUCCUCUAACAACGCCUACCUUCUGCAAUAUUUGCUCCUUCUGUGAUUUCUUCCUAGCUUUUCUUGCUUCAAUCCAGUUUCGUAUUGGGGUAAGGAGGAGGAGUAGAAAUAGGGUCCCAAACACUAUUACCCCAUCAACACAACCACUCUGCAAGCCUUCUUCUUUGAUGCCAAAGACAAGGGACAGCACUCCAGCCAAAAAGAGCAACGCCAUAGACCACAACUUGCACGGUUCUUUGAGGGAAUGGAAGUAGUUCUGUGACAGAGCCCAGUUUUGAGAAACCUGAAUCAUCUUUCGCUGGGAAAUUUGUUCACUGUUAUCCGAAUUUCCGGUUUCCAGGUGACUCUUGAGUUUAUUUGCAACGCCCUCCACUCCACCAAAUCUUUCAUUAAGAGAUUGCAGGCUCAGGUCCAUCAGCACCAUCAUCAACUACUCCGAUUUCCAGAUCCUGAUCAGAAAUAAUCCAAUCCCAAAAGCAUCAUCAACCUAUCUGGUUUCCUAAUCCAGUCCAUCUUGAGCAUCAGUGGUGCUAAGAACGCUAUAAGAUGGCACCCGAGACAGAGAAGCUACAGCUGCAGCUGCCCUGCCAGCUCCAGCAAUGAAGAGUUCCAUCGACCAGUACAGCAAAAUGAGUGGUCUCAGCUGAUUAUUCUGCCUCGUAGUGUUACCGUCGUGAUCAGAUAUUGGAAACAGUGGAGAUUCAUUCAUUUUCAUUUCUGUGCUCAUGUUGCCAUCCUCCAUAUGUGCUUUCUGGGAUCUGUUCCAAACAGAGAGAGACAACAAAAAGAUUAGAAAGUAGAAAAUUGAUAUAUGGAUCGAGUAUAAUAUGAUGAAUUCGACGCUGCUCUUUUUCUAAGUGUAUAUUUGGAACUUGGAAGCUUCUCAGAAGUUCGGGCUGCAUUACGUAGUAGUG